rnacentral:rRNA from 1 species
CCUACGGGAGGCAGCAGUGGGGAAUAGUGCACAAUGGGGGAAACCCUGAUGCAGCAACGCCGCGUGAAGGAAGACGGUGUUCGGAUUGUAAACUUCUGUUCGUAGGGAAGAAGAAUGACGGUAGCGAAGGAGCAAGCCACGGCUAACUACGUGCCAGCAGCCGCGGGAAGACGGAGGUGGCAAGCGUUGUCCGGAAUUACUGGGUGGAAAGGGAGGGCAGGCGGGAAGCCAAGUCAGCUGUGAAAACUACGGGCUUAACUUGUAGACUGCAGUUGAAACUGGUUUUCUUGAGUGCAGUAGAGGUUGGCGGCAUUCCUGGUGUAGCGGUGCACUGCGUAGAUAUUCGG